UAGCUUCAGCCCUACACA
rnacentral:piRNA from 1 species